GGGAAGUCCUCGUGUUGCGCCCAUCCAAUUUUAUAUCUCAUUAAAUUUUUUUCUAUUUUUUUUAUAUCUCAUCGUUUAACUAAUUAGUUAUUUACGGAAUAAAUCACUCGAAACGUUAUUUGGUCGUAUUUAAAUUCAAAUUCGAGGCUCAAGCGCGAUCAGGGGUAGCCUUUAUAUAAAUAGAAUGCGCAAGAAUUGACGGGUGCGAUCAUUCCAGCACUAAUGCAC
rnacentral:lncRNA from 1 species